CGCCUGCCCAGUGAACAAUUAAACGGCCGCGGUACCCUAACCGUGCAAAGGUAGCAUAAUCAUUUGUCUACUAAUUAUAGACCUGUAUGAAGGGCAAAAUGAGGAUCUAACUGUCUCUUAUAAUAAAUCAAUUAAACUGAUCUCCUAGUAAAAAAGCUAGAAUAAUACCAUAAGACCAGAAGACCCUGUGAAGCUUAAAUCAAACUACUAAAUCACAUAGUAAUUACUUUCGGUUGGGGCGACCUUGGAAAAAAAUAGAACUUCCAAGACCCAGUACAACUGACAAUUGAACCAAGUUACUCCAGGGAUAACAGCGCAAUCUUCUUCAAGAGCCCAUAUCAAAAAGAAGGUUUACGACCUCGAUGUUGGAUCAGGACAUCCUAAUGGUGCAGCCGCUAUUAAGGGUUCGUUUGUUCAACGAUUAACAGUCCUACGUGAUCUGA
rnacentral:rRNA from 1 species